rnacentral:rRNA from 1 species
CGAAAGCCUGACGGAGCAACGCCGCGUGAGGGAUGAAGGCCUCUGGGCUGUAAACCUCUUUUCUCAAGGAAGAAGAUCUGACGGUACUUGAGGAAUAAGCCACGGCUAAUUCCGUGCCAGCAGCCGCGGUAAUACGGGAGUGGCAAGCGUUAUCCGGAAUUAUUGGGCGUAAAGCGUCCGCAGGCGGCCGUACAAGUCUGUCGUUAAAGCGUGGAGCUUAACUCCAUUUAAGCGAUGGAAACUGUAAGGCUAGAGUGUGGUAGGGGCAGAGGGAAUUCCCGGUGUAGCGGUGAAAUGCGUAGAUAUCGGGAAGAACACCAGUGGCGAAGGCGCUCUGCUGGGCCAUAACUGACGCUCAUGGACGAAAGCCAGGGGAGCG